GAUUUCUGGUCUGGUGCGCCUGGCCCGCGCCUCUUAGGUUGUGAGUGCCGGGUCGCGCCUGCCAUCCUUCUAGAGACCCUCUCUACCCUUCACUGGGCCGGAGACGGGCUUUCUAGAUCUUUUACUUUGAGAAAAUUAGAGUGUUUAAAGCAGGCUGUUAUUGCUAUGAAUACAUUAGCAUGGAAUAAUAAUUUAGGACUUCGGUUCUAUUUUGUUGGUUCUUAGGACUGAAGUAAUGAUUGAUAGGGAUAGUUGGGGGUGCUAGUAUUCAGUGGCCAGAGGUGAAAUUCUCGGAUUCACUGAAGACUAACUUAUGCGAAAGCAUU
rnacentral:rRNA from 1 species